CAAUAGCGUAUAUUAAAGUUGUUGCGGUAAAAAAGCUCGUAGUUGGAUUUCUGUUGAGAGCGACCGGUCCAUACCAUGUAUGCGUAUCUGGCUUGCUCUCGGCACCCUCUCGAUAGACGUUACUGCGCUUGAUUGCGUGGUGCGGAUCUCGGGACUUUUACUUUGAGGAAAUUAGAGUGUUCACGGCAGGCUUUCGCCAGAAUACAUUAGCAUGGAAUAAUACUAUAGGAUCUUGGUUCUAUUUUGUUGGUUUCUAGAAUUGAGAUAAUGAUUAAUAGGGACAAUUGGGGGCAUUCGUAUCAACACGUCAGAGGUGGAAUUCUUGGAUUGUGUUGCGACGAACUACUGCGAAAGCAUUUGCCAAGGAUGUUUUCAUUGA
rnacentral:rRNA from 1 species